UUGCCCACUUGAGGUUUUAAAUAUCUUAAGUGGCCAUUAUUAAGGGGUAGACUAAAAUUCUCUCUUAAACCCAAGUCAGGGGUCUCACCCCUGCCUCUGGACCUGUCGGGAGGGACAGCA